rnacentral:rRNA from 1 species
GCGACGGGGAGCCCUAGCACAGGUGCUGCAUGGCCGUCGUCAGCUCGUGCCGUGAGGUGUUGGGUUAGGUCCCGCAACGAGCGCAACCCCCGCCGUUAGUUGCCAGCGGUUCGGCCGGGCACUCUAACGGGACUGCCCGCGAAAGCGGGAGGAAGGAGGGGACGACGUCUGGUCAGCAUGGCCCUUACGGCCUGGGCGACACACGUGCUACAAUGCCCACUACAAAGCGAGGCCACCCGGCAACGGGGAGCUAAUCGCAGAAAGGUGGGCCCAGUUCGGAUUGGGGUCUGCAACCCGACCCCAUGAAGCCGGAAUCGCUAGUAAUCGCGGAUCAGCCAUGCCCGCGGUCGAAUACGUUCCGGGCCUU